rnacentral:rRNA from 1 species
CCCUGCCCUUUGUACACACCGCCCGUCGCUCCUACCGAUUGAAUGGUCUGGUGAAGUGCUCGGAUCGCUGCGAUGUUAGGUGGUUCGUCGCUCAUGACGCUGCGAGAAGUCCAUUGAACUUUACCAUUUAGAGGAAGGAGAAGUCGUAACAAGGUUUCCGUAGGUGAACCUGCGGAAGGAUCAUUA